GCAUUCUCCAAUUUCUUGUCUGGUUUAUGUCUCUUAGUUUGUAUUCCCCGUUGUUUCUCCUGUUGACGACAUCGGUGCCUCUUACCUGGGAGAAGAUCAGAGGAAACUGCCGCCUCCCUAGAGCCCGUGUUUUAUUGAUCCCCGUAUGGGAGCUUCCUGAGUACCGAAACACUGUCUAUGUAGACUGCGUUUAACUCACUUCAUCACCAUGUGUAGAGUUAAGGUCCUAUAAAAUACGGU
rnacentral:lncRNA from 1 species